AGAGACCAAAACCCAAACACAAGGUGAGUGCGGUGGGUGCUGUCCUAGAGGAAGAGCACUUGGAGUAGCAGAGGAGCGUUCCCACCCCAGCUGAACCCCAAAUGUGGAAGCACAUGAGAUAUCACUGCUUGUUGUCAAUAUCCCCUGUUGCUGCAGGAGGGCUGCUCCAGAAGGUGCAGUGCCUGGCCAGGAUCUCUCACGUCAGCCACCAGCAGUUGGAGGUGGAGGGUGAGAUGCCGCCUCUUCUGUGCUGAGCCCUAGAGCAGAUAUAGCUCCUGGUACUGUGGGUGUGUAGGGUCAAGGCCCUGUGAAGCCACAGCUGGACACACCAUACACAGCUCUCCUUCUCAUAAUAGGGCAUGACAAAGCUGGAGACUCUGCUAUCCAUUAGUGAACUGGGGUGUAUGCUGCUGACCCUGGGCUCAGAAAAAUAACCUAAGCUUGACAGGGCCCUGGGAACCUUCUGCCCUCGGGUACAUUUUUCUGCUCUGAACUGGGAGGUUGUGAAUUCUCUAAGCAGGCCCCGUGCACAGGAGGACUCCUAUCUAUAGGAAUGUCACUCUCAAUAGCUUUGGAAAUUCAGCUCGAGAAGUCUCUGGAAGUGGCCUUCCCCUCUGCCUGGUUUAAUGAUUGCUAUUACACUUUUAGGUCACCAGUAAAUAAGCCCUGGAAGUGCCACUUUGUUGUGAGUGAAUAGCUGAAUCUCAUAUAUCCAGCUAAAAAUCCAAUGACAACAAAACCAUGGAGGAGCAAAUCAGCCCAUCCUAGGAUAAAAAUCACUGCAAACCAGCAUCAACUGUGUUCUCUUAAUAAAGUGCAAUAAUUAUAAUUAUA